CGUCCCUGCUGCGGGGCGCGCUGCGCAAGGCUGGGGCUUGGUGGUUGGCCCAGCUGCAUUGCGCACAGUGGUGCCUGGACAUCCUCGCUGGAUCCCCAAAAUGAGACCUCGUGAUGGAGGAGUCGAAAACAGACGAGGAAGGACCCUCAAAAUACUGCUCAGCUCAGAGCUUCUUUGAGUUUUUAAAAUACCAUUAUUGUUAGGUCAUCAUUAACCCGGGACACCAUGCACAGCGCUUCUGUUGUCUCAUCUAAUUAAAUAUGAUCUACCCGUAGCAGACAUAGACGUUAGGCCUUACAUCCCGCCUCCAUUUACCCCUGCUGGUUAGCUCUGGUGGAUAAUGUAAUAUAUUUGGAAUCAUUUUCCAAGUGCAGCUGAAAAAAGUCUUUUGGGGCCUCUGUGGGACUGUAUGUAUCAUGCCAUGUGUUGUAGUGUAGAAAGAGAGUAAAUGGUUUGGAAGUAAAAUAGGGAGCAAGACAGUAUGGCUUCAGCAUGGAAAUGGGUUUAAUAUCCUCUUUUUUAAAUUUUACAGUAGCACAAAGUGGAAAUGAAAUUCUUUACCUCAGAGUGGAAGUAAGACCUGGACUAACCAAGGAUUUCCUGUUGCUCUGCAUUUCUGUUCCCCUUCCCUUUGAUUUUAAUCAGAGAAGGUUACUGGACAGACUUCUUAUAUAGCCACCUUCUGCUUGCAGGGAAGGUAGCCAUAUUCCCGCAAUGACUUUUCUCCUCCAACUUUUUGACGAAUUUAUCUAAAAGCAAUAUAAUAGAAAUCAAAUCAAAAGAGAAAAAGAAAAGCCAAAAUACUCCAAAAAGCUCAGUUGCUAGAAUGAGGACGAAGAGGAAAGUUUACUUGAGCAACAUGGCCAAAGAUGCUGGUUCCUUGUGCAACAAUGAACAGAGGCUAGGGGCAACAAGGGCAAAAGCCUGUUACUGAGCCAACUUCUCAAGGUUGGUCUCAAGUGCUGUUCUUGCUCUUUGUGGGCCUCAUGUCGAGAGUGAUGGCUUUGACCUACCCUCCUUACAAAGGGCUCUCUGUGGGACACACUCCUCAGCUGUAACCAGCUCUGGUGUGGGAUUGAGGGAGGUUAGGAGGGCAGGCUCAGGAGUGUAUGCCUGCGAUCACGUAUUCUGCCAUGUACUAGCUUAUGACCUUAAGCAAGUAUUUAUAUUUUCAAACUUCUCUGUGCUUCAACUUAUUUAAUGUCAAUAAAUUAAAUUAGUGCUGUAAGAGA